rnacentral:rRNA from 1 species
CCUACGGGUGGCAGCAGUCGAGAAUCAUUCACAAUGGGGAAAACCCUGAUGGUGCGACGCCGCGUGGGGGAAUGAAGGUCUUCGGAUUGUAAACCCCUGUCAUGUGGGAGCAAAUUAAAAAGAUAGUACCACAAGAGGAAGAGACGGCUAACUCUGUGCCAGCAGCCGCGGUAAUACAGAGGUCUCAAGCGUUGUUCGGAAUCACUGGGCGUAAGGCGUGCGUAGGCUGUUUCGUAAGUCGUGUGUGAAAGGCGCGGGCUCAACCCGCGGACGGCACAUGAUACUGCGAGACUAGAGUAAUGGAGGGGGAACCGGAAUUCUCGGUGUAGCAGUGAAAUGCGUAGAUAUAGAGAGGAACACUCGUGGCGAAGGCGGGUUCCUGGACAUUAACUGACGCUGAGGCACGAAGGCCAGGGGAGCGAAAGGGAUUAGAUACCCUAGUAGUC